AAGAGACAGCAGUAGCCGCGGGAAUACGAAGGGGGCUAGCGUUGUUCGGAAUUACUGGGCGUAAAGCGCACGUAGGCGGAUAUUUAAGUCAGGGGUGAAAUCCUGGAGCUCAACUCCAGAACUGCCUUUGAUACUGAAGAUCUUGAGUUCGGGAGAGGUGAGUGGAACUGCGAGUGUAGAGGUGAAAUCCGUAGAUAUUCGCAAGAACACCAGUGGCGAAGGCGGCUCACUGGCCCGAUACUGACGCUGAGGCACGAAAGCGUGGGGAGCAAACAGGAUUAGAUACCCGGGUAGUCCCUGUCUCUUAUAA
rnacentral:rRNA from 1 species